rnacentral:misc_RNA from 1 species
CCAUAAGGAGCUACCUAUGG